AUAAAGAGAUUGUGGGAUGGACCAGCAAACACAAUACCAGUUUGAAGUAAAGGAGAAAGAUACCAGAGAGAAUGAAGGAAGGCUGCUGGACUUCUUUCAUUCUGCAGGACAUGACAACAAAGCUAUUCUUUUUCUUUUAGUGUUUAUUUAUCUUUGAGAGAGAGAGAGAGAGAGAGAGAGAGAGAGAGGACAAGAGGAUCUGAAGCAGGCUCUCUGGCUCCGUGCUGACAGCAGGGAACCUGAGGCAGGGCCCUGACCCACGAACUGCUAGACCAUGAAUGGAGCUCAAGUCCCCAAGUGGGAAGCUUAAUGGACUGAAGCACACAGGCGCCCCUAGAGGUAUUCUUUUGCGACUGUGCAUCAUCCAUCGAAAAAAACGGAGGCACAGUGCGGCUCUGGUGGAAUGAAGUGUGUGUGUACGGCCUCACUCAGUGUCUGGAAGGGAGGAGCAUUCAGCGGGAGCCAUCAUCUGUAUUAUCUGCAUCAGUCUGAACUGUCUUACUUAUUUGCAUCAUCUCUGAAAAAUUUCCAAGUCUAACAUUCAGAAAUCCAAGAAGAAAUAAUAAAUGGCAGAUUUCCCCCCCUAAAUACAGAGACUAUUUUUUGGAGGAGAAAGGAAAAAA